AAGUUUCUCGCAACUUUGGAUUCAUACGCACGGAUUUUUUUGGUGCUAUACUUUAAAAAAUUGAUCUACAUUUUGAUACCCAAAUGACAAAUGAAACUGUCAGUGUGUACUGGGCUUAAUCUCACUGUGUAAAUCUUCAGCUCAAAUAAAUGAUGUAGGUGAUUUAAUCAUUCUUUGUCGUUUACUUCUUUGCUGUUAUUUUAAAAAACCUGUUUCUGCUGUGCUCUGUUUCAGUACGGGACGACGGGUUCUGUGCCUGCCUGAUCCUCUCAGUGCGAGCAAAGCUUCCUCAUUUCGUCACUUCCCAUCCCUUCUUCCAGGUGGCUGGGAACACCUUGGCGAGUUCCGGAAUCAUCCAACUGGUUGCGUGAUCCUUUGAGGGUAAAUACACUGCUUCAAUUCGUGACAGCCAUGUGACAGUCACUGCAGCAGCCGUCCUGACCUCAGACCAUCACAACACCAGGGAACAGAGGGGGAAGUGGAAGCCUAGAAGCCCCACAGUUUUGAGGUGUCGACGGCUCCCAGUUGUCCAGAUCACCCUACUC
rnacentral:lncRNA from 1 species